rnacentral:pre_miRNA from 1 species
CAUCUACUCCCUCCGUUCGGAAUUUGUCACAGAAAUGAAUGUAUCUAGAUGUAUUUUAAUUCUAGAUAAAUUUAUAUCCGAGACAAGUAAUUUCGAACGAAGGGAGUAGAUG